GAUGAACGCUGGCGGCGUGCCUAACACAUGCAAGUCGAGCGAAGCGGGGGCGGGUGAGUAACAUGUAGAUAACCUCCUCUAUGACUGGGAUAACCUCGGGAAAACGGUGCUUAACCGGAUACUUAUACAUGGAUCCGGGCGGCAUUAGCUAGUUGGUAGGGUAACGGCUUACCAAGGCAACGAUGCAUAGCCGACCUGAGAGGAUGAUCGGCCACACUGGAACUGAGACACGGUCCAGACUCCUACGGGAGGCAGCAGUAGGGAAUCUUCCGCAAUGGGCGAAAGCCUGACGGAGCAACGCCGCGUGUGUGAUGAAGGUCUUCGGAUCGUAAAACACUGUUAUUAGGGAGGCGGUACCUGAUCAGAAAGCCCCGGCUAACUACGUGCCAGCAGCCGCGGUAAUUC
rnacentral:rRNA from 1 species